rnacentral:RNase_P_RNA from 1 species
CGGGUGGAUCGGGUGGUCGCUCCGAUCCGGGGAGGAAAGUCCGGGCACCAUAGGGCAGGGUACCCCGUGAUAAGCGGGGGCUCUAGGAGCGAUAUCUCUUAGAGACGGAAAGUGCCACAGAAAACAGACCGCCAGCGGUCCCGUUCUAUGGGAUGCGGGCAAGGGUGAAAAGGUGGAGUAAGAGCCCACCGCUCUGGUGGUAACACCAGAGGCAUGGCAAACCCUACCCGGUGCAAGGCCAAAUAGGGGGAGAGGUAGCCCGCCUCGUCAUCACCCCGGGUAGGCCGCUGAGAUAGAUGACCACCCUCGACAGAACCCGGCUUACAGAUCCACCCGGUCA